CAUGGUUCAUAUCAGGAUCUGACUACUGAAGCUUCUAAGGAAAUAUGUGACCAGAUAAGGUCAUCACCUUCAGGACCACAAUGCCUGGUAGGGCCAGGACUCGCGCCCGAGGCAGAGCCCGCCGCAGGGAGAGCUACCAACAAGAGGCACCUGGGGGACCCAGAGCACCUGGAUCAGCUACAACCCAGGAGCCUGCUCAGUUGCAGUCGACACCCUGGCCGCUCUGGGAGGAAGUCCCAGUGGUUAGACCUCUGCAGCCAAGAGGAGCAAGAGGAGGAGCACAGUCUCAAGGGGUGAAGGAACCUGGACCUGAGGCUGUGUUGCCUACAGCGCCCUUGCAGGAGAGGAGGAUUGGUGGAGUUUUUCAGGACCUGGUGGUGAACACCAGGCGAGAUAUGAAGCAUGUUAAAGACUCAAAAACAGGUUCUGAGGGUACAGUGGUACAGCUACUUGCCAACCACUUCCGAGUGAUAUCUCGUCCUCAGUGGGUUGCAUAUAAAUACAACGUUGACUACAAACCAGACAUAGAAGAUGGAAAUCUCCGUACAAUUUUACUUGAUCAACAUAGAAGGAAAUUUGGAGAGCGCCAUAUAUUUGAUGGAAACUCUUUAUUAUUAUCUCGGCCACUAAAAGAGCGGAGUGUGGAAUGGUUGAGCACAACCAAAGACAAAAAAUUUGUGAAGAUUACAGUUGAGUUUUCCAAAGAACUCACGCCCACGUCGCCAGAUUGCCUGCGCUAUUACAACAUUCUCUUUAGAAGAACUUUCAAGCUGCUGGGUUUUGAACAAGUUGGUCGCAACUAUUAUACCAAAAAGAAAGCCAUUCAGUUAUACCGUCAUGGUACCAGUCUGGAAAUCUGGCUUGGUUAUGUUACUUCUAUUCUUCAAUACGAAAACAGCAUUACCCUCUGUGCCGAUGUGAGCCACAAACUGCUCCGAAUAGAAACUGCUUAUGAUUUCAUAAAGAGAACAUCUGCCCAGGCCCAGACAGGAAACAUCCGAGAGGAAGUAACUAAUAAAUUAAUUGGAUCAAUUGUUCUGACAAAAUACAACAACAAAACCUACAGAGUAGAUGAUAUUGAUUGGAAGCAGAAUCCUGAAGACACAUUUAACAAAUCAGAUGGCAGCAAAAUCAGCUAUAUAGACUACUACAGGCAGCAACAUAAAGAAAUUGUCACAGUGAAGAAACAGCCACUUUUGGUCAGCCAGGGCAGAUGGAAAAAGGGCCUAAUGGGUACACAACGUGAACCUAUCCUGCUGAUUCCUCAGCUGUGCCACAUGACAGGUCUAACAGAUGAAAUACGUAAAGAUUAUAGCAUUAUGAAAGAAUUGGCUAAACAUACAAGAUUGAGUCCAAGAAGAAGGCAUCAUACAUUAAAAGAAUUCAUCAAUACUAUACAAGAUAAUAAAAAAGUACGAGAGUUACUUCAACUCUGGGAUUUGAAAUUUGAUACCAAUUUUUUGUCCGUCCCGGGAAGAGUUUUGAAAAACGCAAACAUCGUGCAAGGCAGAAGAAUGGUUAAAGCCAAUUCACAAGGAGACUGGUCAAGAGAAAUAAGAGAAUUACCCUUACUUAAUGCAGUGCCACUACAUAGUUGGCUCAUACUCUAUAGCAGGAGCAGUCACAGAGAAGCCAUGUCCUUAAAGGGUCAUCUGCAGAGUGUCACAGCCCCCAUGGGCAUAACUAUGAAACCAGCAGAAAUGAUUGAAGUAGAUGGUGAUGCUAACUCCUAUAUAGACACAUUACGGAAAUAUACUAGACCGACACUGCAGAUGGUGAUUUGUAUCCUGCCCAAUGAUGACAAACGUAGAUAUGACAGCAUAAAAAGAUACCUAUGUACCAAAUGCCCAAUUCCAAGCCAAUGUGUGGUGAAAAAGACCUUAGAAAAAGUCCAGGCAAGGACCAUCGUCACCAAGAUUGCCCAGCAGAUGAAUUGCAAGAUGGGAGGAGCCCUCUGGAAGGUGGAGACAGACGUACAAAGAACAAUGUUCGUUGGCAUUGAUUGUUUCCACGAUAUUGUCAAUCGACAGAAAUCAAUAGCAGGAUUUGUUGCAAGUACCAAUGCUGAAUUAACAAAGUGGUACUCUCAAUGUGUCAUUCAGAAAACAGGAGAAGAGCUUGUGAAAGAGCUGCAGAUCUGCUUGAAAGCUGCCCUGGAUGUCUGGUGUAAAAACGAAUCAUCGAUGCCACAUUCUGUUAUUGUGUAUCGGGAUGGAGUGGGAGAUGGUCAGCUUCAAGCAUUGCUUGACCAUGAAGCGAAAAAGAUGUCGACCUACUUAAAAACCAUCUCUCCUAACCAUUUCACUCUAGCUUUCAUUGUGGUGAAGAAACGAAUAAACACUAGAUUUUUUCUUAAACAUGGAAGCGAUUUUCAAAAUCCACCUCCAGGAACAGUUAUUGACCUAGAGUUGACUAGGAAUGAAUGGUAUGACUUUUUUAUUGUGAGUCAGUCUGUGCAAGAUGGGACUGUUACCCCCACUCAUUAUAACGUCAUCUAUGACACGAUUGGCUUGAGCCCAGAUACAGUACAGCGUUUAACAUAUUGUCUAUGCCACAUGUAUUAUAAUUUGCCAGGCAUCAUCCGAGUUCCAGCACCUUGCCACUAUGCCCACAAGCUGGCUUACCUUGUGGGGCAGUCCAUUCACCAGGAACCGAAUCGUUCCUUGUCAACCCGUCUCUUUUACCUUUGA
rnacentral:sRNA from 1 species